UACACAAGAGCACAUGUAAGAUGGCUGUCUCAGGUAAGAUGAGGUCACUUUUACAACUGGCAUUCACUUGGGGAGGAGACUGUGAGGAAAUGAAAGUGUUCAAGUUCUGAAACAUAUAAAGGAAGACUUUAGAAGAGUGCACAUCUUCUCUCCAGUUCUCCUCUCAUACGUUUGACAAUCUGUUCACGAUGCAGCUUUAUGGAGCUCUGAUCCUGUUUCUGACUCUGUCUACAGGUAAGAAAAGCUCAUGAUUCACAUGCUUUGGUUGGAUGUUGUUACACAAAGAAAUGAAAUGUGUUAAUGUUUGAAGGUUAUUGUAGAAUCUGAAAAAGGCAGUGGUGUCCAUAACUUAGAGAAGUGUGACAGGGAUUAUUAUUUUUGUUUUUUAUUAUAUAAAUGAAUGAGUUUGAAGAUGUUCAUUAUUAACUCAAAAGGAUGGAAAUAUUUUUAACAGUUAUGGGAUUUUAAAAUAUAGCAACACAAAUUUCUUUUUCUGUUUUUUAAAGGGAACUGUAGUUUUGGAACGUUAUAAGGAUUCAUAAUAAGCAAGUUCCUUUGUGUUGUGUUUUCUCUCUCUUUCUCCUCUUCAUAUUCUCUUACUGGAAACAUUUCUGAACCAUGGUGCAACCUGGUGAUGAGUGUCUGCUUGAGGGAGAAAACACCUGUUUUUGACUGCACGUGGAUUGAAAUGCUACACAUGUUCAAACACUGAACCUGAAUCCUGCACACUCAUUGAAACUUGCACUGGCACCUCAAACCGUUGUUUCUCUGUGGAAAAGAACUAUUUAGUCGCAAAGGGCUGCCUUACAAGUGACAUAUGUGAAAAACCUGCAGCUUGCUGUGAAGGGGACUUGUGUAACAAUGCCAUACCUACUGGUCCCAGUUUCAUCCUCCUGCUGGUAUUCUCAGCCAUCAUCACUCUCUUUCUUUGAGGCUCUUCAGCAGCUACAGCUUAAAAUAUGUUGUUAUUUCUAUCCUGCACUUUUUUUCUCACCCAACUUGUACAACUCAGGAAGAAUAAACAAUUUUUAAUGUAAAAGCUGUAAAUGACAUUGAAAUGACAAAAAAUGUAUAUCUUUUCAAUAAAACCACAA